rnacentral:rRNA from 1 species
CAAGUCGAGCGAGAAAAGGGGAGCAAUCCCCUGAGUAAAGCGGCGCACGGGUGAGUAACACGUGGGUAAUCUGCCCUGGAGUGGGGAAUAACACCGGGAAACCGGUGCUAAUACCGCAUACGAUCACAGAGUCUGCGGAUUUUGUGAUGAAAGGAGCAAUUCGCUCUAGGAGGAGCCCGCGGCUGAUUAGCUAGUUGGUGAGGUAACGGCUCACCAAGGCUACGAUCAGUAUCCGGUCUGAGAGGACGGUCGGACACACUGGAACUGAGACACGGUCCAGACUCCUACGGGAGGCAGCAGUGGGGAAUUUUUGGCAAUGGGGGCAACCCUGACCAAGCAACGCCGCGUGGGUGAUGAAGUCUCUUGGGACGUAAAACCCUUUCGACGGGGACGAAAGCCGCAAGGUUUGACGGUACCCGUAGAAGAAGCCCCGGCUAACUCCGUGCCAGCAGCCGCGGUAAUACGGGGGGGGCAAGCGUUGUUCGGAAUUACUGGGCGUAAAGGGCGCGUAGGCGGUUCGCUAAGUUGGAUGUGAAAACUCUGGGCUCAACCCAGAGCCUGCAUCCAAAACUGGCGGGCUAGAGUUCUGGAGGGGGUAGCGGAAUUCCUGGUGUAGCGGUGAAAUGCGUAGAUAUCAGGAGGAACACCGGUGGCGAAGGCGGCUACCUGGACAGAAACUGACGCUGAGGCGCGAAAGCUAGGGGAGCAAACAGGAUUAGAUACCCUGGUAGUCCUAGCCCUAAACGAUGGAUACUUGGUGUGACGGGGAUUGAAUCCCGUCGUGCCGAAGCUAACGCAUUAAGUAUCCCGCCUGGGGAGUACCGGUCGCAAGGCUGAAACUCAAAGGAAUUGACGGGGCCCCCACAAGCGGUGGAGUAUGU